rnacentral:rRNA from 1 species
UGGGGAAUAUUGGACAAUGGGCGAAAGCCUGAUCCAGCCAUGCCGCGUGUGUGAAGAAGGUCUUCGGAUUGUAAAGCACUUUAAGUUGGGAGGAAGGGCAGUAAGCGAAUACCUUGCUGUUUUGACGUUACCGACAGAAUAAGCACCGGCUAACUCUGUGCCAGCAGCCGCGGUAAUACAGAGGGUGCAAGCGUUAAUCGGAAUUACUGGGCGUAAAGCGCGCGUAGGUGGUUCGUUAAGUUGAAUGUGAAAGCCCCGGGCUCAACCUGGGAACGGCAUCCAAAACUGGCGAGCUAGGGUAGGGCAGAGGGUGGUGGAAUUUCCUGUGUAGCGGUGAAAUGCGUAGAUAUAGGAAGGAACACCAGUGGCGAAGGCGACCACCUGGGCUCAUACUGACACUGAGGUGCGAAAGCGUGGGGAGCAAACAGG